rnacentral:rRNA from 1 species
UACGGAGGGGGCUAGCGUUGUUCGGAAUUAGACUGGGCGUAAAGCGGCACGUAGGCGGCUUUGUAAAGUUUAGAGGUGAAAAGCCCGGGGCUCAACUCCGGAACUGCCUUUAAGACUGCAUCGCUUGAAUCAUGGAGAGGUCAGUGGAAUUCCGAGUGUAGAGGUGAAAAUUCGUAGGAUAUUCGGAAGAACACCAGUGGCGAAGGCGACUGACUGGACAUGUAUUGACGCUGAGGUGCGAAAGCGUGGGGAGCAAACAGG